AUGCCUUCAAUUUAUGAGUAAGGAAAAUAACAAUUCGGGGUGACGUCCAAAUCCUUACUGCUAACAUGGGAUGGAUUUUUGAGUGGGUAAAGAUUGCACCUAAUGAUGCACCUACUUUACAAGAUGCCUGGGAGUCACGAUCUGCUCC